UACGUAGGGGGCUAGCGUUGUUCGGAAUUACUGGGCGUAAAGCGCGCGCAGGCGGUUCUUCAAGUCAGAGGUGAAAGCCCAGAGCUCAACUCUGGAAUGGCCUUUGAGACUAGAGAACUAGGGUACGGGAGAGGUGAGUGGAAUUCCGAGUGUAGAGGUGAAAUUCGUAGAUAUUCGGAAGAACACCAGUGGCGAAGGCGGCUCACUGGCCCGUUACCGACGCUCAGGCGCGACAGCGUGGGGAGCAAACAGG
rnacentral:rRNA from 1 species